UGAGACUCACUCCUGCAGGUGUCAGAGGGAGGCAGAGCAGCGCAGCCAUCAGUGAGAAAUAUGGGCUGUAAGCCGGAGCUGUAGCACCAUUACCGCCAGCGUCUUACUGCUGCUUUCAUCUGUUAGCUCUAUCUCAAUGGUCAUCUGGGGAACCCGGCGGCCGUGCUGCCAUCAAAUUGGAGCAGGAAGGAGGAAACAAAGGCCAUUAUACAAGAUGUGUUGGUGUGUGGUUCAGAACAAACGGAUGAAAAGGGCAGCGUAGAAAUCAAAGUCCUGCUUUGACAUUAAGAGGUCAUCUGCAGCCGGUGAGCCGAUGCAAACAGACGACUUCAGGAUGGAAUCAUCUCAACAUGCUGUUGUUUAAAAGGAGCCUCAGCGCCUGGAGGACACGGCGUGUGGAUCCUGUGAUCUCCGGCCUCCUGGAGGAAGAACUGAUAUAAAACAACUGGAAAGUCUUUGUUAGUUACUGACAGAUUACAAAUGCCAGCGAUAUUCAGUCUGACAGAAACAAAAGGAACGAAAUCAUCUCUGAUAACAUUUUGUUGUUUCUGUGCCUUAGGAAAAGAAACGGUGUGCCCUAUUUUUUGUCCUUGUGUUGAUAAAUAUUACAACCAGCAUAAAUGUUUCAGUGCCACUUGCAUCCUGGUGUCUCUGUAGAAGACAGUCCUUGUUGUCUGAGCCUGAUUGUGCUGUGCAGUUUUUCCCGUUUGCUUUCCUCGAGCCGAGGUCAGACCACCAGCUUCUGUUGGGUGAAAAGUCCUUCCAACGUCAAGUCAGCAGAUUUUAAGAGACAGGAAAAAACACGUUUCUUUGUAACCCGUGUUUAACUUUGAGAAGGAACCGUGAAGGAGCAUCCUCCACAUUAGUGGUCUAAAGUCUUCUUUUAAACUGAAAGCUAAUUCAUGAUGCGUUCCAGUCGUACUGGGAAUCGGGAAAUUUGGACUUCUAAUCUGGGAAAAUCAACUGGAACGUUCUCUGAAGUGAGAUUUCCCAAUACUGCUAAAGCCGACUUUACCUUUCAAUAUGGCCGCUCCUCAAAAUCAGCAGUCGUACGAUGUGAUGGAAACACGACGCACAUAAGAGUUGAU